rnacentral:rRNA from 1 species
UGAGGAAUAUUGCGCAAUGGGGGCAACCCUGACGCAGCGACGCCGCGUGAGUGAGGAAGGCCUUCGGGUCGUAAAGCUCUGUCAAAGGGAAAGAAGUGCAUGGUGGCUAAUACCUGCCAUGUUUGACGGUACCCUUAAAGGAAGCACCGGCUAACUCCGUGCCAGCAGCCGCGGUAAUACGGAGGGUGCAAGCGUUGUUCGGAAUCACUGGACGUAAAGGGCGCGUAGGCGGUUUGAUAAGUCAGAUGUGAAAGCCCACGGCUUAACUGUGGAAGUGCAUUUGAAACUGUCAGACUUGAGUAUCAGAGGGGAAAGUGGAAUUCCCGGUGUAGAGGUGAAAUUCGUAGAUAUCGGGAGGAAUACCGGUGGCGAAGGCGUCUCACCAGAACGGACCUGACGGCAAGGGACGAAAGCUAGGGGCACGAACC